AUGCAGCCUUCAGUUUUCGUGAGUGUGAUCUUAGCAUUUUUUCUAGGUUCAGCUGGUCAAAAUGAACUUGUAGCAGCUAACCCUUUCCAUCCAAGUCCCCCCUUACUUCGCAAUGGAUUUUCUGGCAGAACAACCGAUCAUUUGGCAGCAGAAGCCACUGUAAUUGAAGUAUGGAAAGGCUUCUUCUGUCGUCGUUUUCUCUUUCUCGCCGUCCAAGCUACUCUCUUUCGUCUCAGGUUUUAG